GCUUAUCACCAUUCCAGAUUGAAUAUACCCGAUCUCGUCUGAUCUCCGAAGUCAAGCAAUCUCGGGCUUGGUUAGUACUUGGAUGGG
rfam:Ciona savignyi cont_35303, whole genome shotgun sequence.